CACCCAUUUUCUUUUUUCUUUCUCUUUCUAUUUCUUCUUCUGCUCUCUUGCUCUCCCUCUCUAACCUUAUGAAAUGGCUCCAUGGAAAUGGAGAAAUCAAUAAACCUUAGAUGUAGUUUCAACCAAACUAAUAAAAACCCACCCUUCUCUUGAUUCUGAUUCUAAACUCCCUCAACUCACUUGUCCAGUUGUAAAUCUCAAAUCUGUUGGGAACAGAUUCAAUCCAAGUUUUUUUUCUAUCAUUCCAGGGUUUUAUCAAAAUCUCUAACUAGAUCUAAAUAAAUAAUCACCUCAUGGAUGAUUACUGCUAAAGACCUUUGUUUUAGGGUGUUCUAGGGUUUCUGAAUCUGAAAUUAUGAGUCUGUGAUGGAAUUGGAGAAAGGGUUUUCUAUGAAUCUUGAGACAAAGAUUAAGAUAAUUUGGGGUUGGAAAGAGAUGAGUUCGCUGCAAUUAUUGAAGAAGAUGAUGAUUAAAAAGGGGUUUCUGUUAUUGCCUAGAGAAGAAGCGAAUCGUAUUUGAGAAUUAGAAGAUGGAAUUUGUGAUAUCAUGGAAAUAAUCGAUUAGAGUUGCACUAGAUUCGAAGUCAGAUGGGUUUGAUGUUGUUGAUAUGGAGAGGAGAAAUCAGAGAAGAUUAAGAAAAAAUUGAAGUUCUUAGAAGUCUAAGAUUGAGAAAUCAAGAGAUUGCAGGUGGAUGUGAUGAUUUUCAUAGGUUAGUGGUGCUGCUUUAUUCGAGUUAAAAACAAAUUGAAGUUCUUAGAAGUCUGAGAUUGAGAAUUCAAGAGAUUGCAUGUUAGGGUUUGCAAUUUAAUUUUCUGAUUUUUGUUCUACUACAUUUUUUGUUUGCUGACAUAUUUUUAAUUAUUAUUUGUUUUUAUUUGAUUUUCCACAAAUUUCAUUAUUUAAAACUACACUUCUUGAAGAGCUUCUUCAGGUAUAACAUCUAUCUGCAUUUUUUAGAAGCAAUUUAGUGUUUUGUUAUGGGAUUAUUGAAGUACCGGUGUGCUGAUAGAGUAAUUGUUUAUUCCAGGGUUUGAAGUUAGAUGAUUGGUAUGCUGAUGAGGGGAUUAUAAGCAUGAUAGAGUAAUUUGAUUUGAUCUGAUGUUGGGUCAUAUUUUUUCUUUGAUACAUGUUGGGUUUUCAUUUUGCAGGAACGCAUAUCCUAUGCGAGAAGCAAGGUAAGAUCAAUGAAGCAUACAAGAAUCUAGAUGAAGAUUGGUUAAGAAAUGGAGAAAAAGUUUCCCCAGCAGAGUUCGCAAAUUUGAAUUGUUACUUUGUCUUACAAAGAUUUACCUUUAGCUUGUACUUGCAUUUUCAUCUUAGCACCAUCGAUUUUGUUCCAUGAUCAAAAGUGGUCCAACUUUUCAGAGGUGCUGAUGGGGAUCAAGUUAGGAAACCAGCUGAAUUUGGGGAUUGCGCAUAUGUGGUCAGAAACGAUCGUCGAGGUACGUGCAAGUUCUGACUUCUGAGUUGGGGGGGUUCAAUUUUUGUCAUUAAUUAAACAAUGGUCUCACCUUCAAAAUCAGUACACACCCAGUCUCUUGGAUGUUGGUACUUUAAGUUCGUGGAGUAUCAUUUAAGGGCACACUUCCUUGCUAAUCCUUACUAAAUUAACAAGCAUUUGAUGAAGUUGUAGCAUAACUUGAUGCUGGAGAUCGGUCCCAGCUGAUCUUGGAAAAAAUCAUUUUAAAAGUUUUUUUAGAUAUAAGGUAUAUAUGAUGGUCUUGUUUUCUGUAUAAUCUAUUUAUUCCACUUAAAACUAAUUUUUCUUGUAGCUCAUUUUGGACAGAACUUGUCCUGUAGCUCAUCUUGUAAUGAUGUUUUCUAUUCUGAAUGAAACUUGAGGUAUAAUAAUUUAUUUAGUAUGCGUACAUCUACUGGAAUAUUUUUUUGUGUAUGCUGAAUCCUGCAUUUUUAAGUUUCCAGGUGAAUUUGUUAGUUUAUUCAACUGUCAUGUAAUCAAUAGCCUAAGCAUUUGCAGUUUGGGGGUUUCUUAAUUGAGAGUUUGUUUUAGAUUCAUCUAACUCUGACUAAAGAAUUUUAUUUCAGAUUAAUGGGAAGCAAUUUGGUGUUGUUCCGAGUCAGGACAGUGACACGCUGUUCAUUGGCAAUAUAGUCAAGUUGAAGGCAAAACUGAUACACCAUGGUGUUGAUAACUUUGAAGACUUGACACUGGUCGAGGAUACUAAAAAUGAGGGGAUGAAUAGGGGGUUUGCUUUUCUGGAUUUCGGUACUCGUUCAGAUGCUUAGGAGGCAUGCAAGAACUUGCAUAAGAGGGAUGUUUUGGUUGGUACCGAUAGGCCAGAAAAAAUUGCUUUUGAAGACACUUUCAUUGAGAUGGAUACUGCCUGUGUACCUGCUAUAACGAUUAUUGGUAGAGCAAAAUCAUAAUAGGAGAAUACACUCGGACAUUGUGGAGUGACAAGUGACAACAGACUACAUAAGCAGCAGAAGGCUCAAUGAUAAACGGGCUGCAGUAAUCUACUGAGAUUCGUCAUGGAAAGUGGUAACAAGGGUUGCGAGGUUGUUUCCUUAACUGCUGAGUAAGCUGUCAUGUGCUUCUGUGAGAGUUCUCUUGAUAUCCUAGUUACUUUGGAGCUUACACCAUAGUGAGAGGCAUGGUAGUGUCAAGACAUUUUUCAUAUGUUUCUUUUGGUUUGGCAUCAGCUCUGCAACUUUAACAUUUUGAUUCUUGCCUGUCACACAUUUUCGGAACAUCGUCUAUUAGUUUAGCAUGUCGUUAUAACUUACUAGCUAGCUUGGACAUGUCUUGUUCUAAACUAAGAAUUUCAUUCUUAUGUGCAACUUUAAACCCCAUGAAUGAAUGAACGAAAGUUGAAUUCUCAAUUGGAGUUUAAAUUUGAGUUAAAUUUGAAUUUCAGUUUGGGUUCCA